AUUAAUAUUACACUGACAAAUCAUUCUCAUUCAAAAGGCAGAACCAUUAAACAACACCAAAAACCUCGGGCUCAUAAGCACGGCCUAUGUUGCACAGCACAGUGGAGGAUUUGAUGCAACGUGCAAGGCCCUCACUUUGGAAGGAAGCAACUAGUCAUGGACGGGGAAGGAGAGGAUUAAAAAGAAGAGAUGAAUUUCUUGGGACAAAGUAAAAAUUACCCUGAACCUUUAUCCAGAGCUUCAAAGAAUCAUUGCAUAGAAAUGAUUUUAUCUGGGAGUGGAGAGGCACAAGACAUUGUGUGAGAACACUUCCCCCACUGUGGCGUUUCCCAUGGAAGCCAAUCCAGACACUGGAAAUCAGAAGAAAGUGAGCACUUCAAAAAAAAAAAAAAAGAAAAUUAAGGCUGCUUUCCAGGCUGAGCUUUUUUGACCCCAGAGAUUCUGAUUGUUCCCUCUGCAAGCGAGGAGAACAGGCCUUACCAUGUCCCGCUUGCCUUCUCAGCACAGAAUCCUUUCUGUCUUUCUGUUUCUGACAGAAAGUCUGGCAACCAGACUUUCUGAAUCAGCUUUGUUUCUGCCCCGCUGCUCCCGAGGUGCUAGCAUCCAGGCAAAGAGUGAAAUCAAAAGAAUGGAAGCUGACUUAACCCGGCUGUUAAGUCUGGUUUCAGAGAGAUCCCGCUCUCCUCUCUCAUUUGAUUGCCCUUCUCUGUGCCUCUUUAGGCUCCCGGCCGCCACCUUCUGUGUCAACGGAUCGCCUCGGACCAACACGGUACCUGGUUUUGGAACCCUGGAAUCUACCCAGGAAGAGGAUCAGCUGAGGAAGACAAGACAGCCAACGACGGCUUCUUUGCAAUACACGGAGCUACGUUUGCCCAUGAAGACACCAUGAAGAGGACAGUUCCACUGACCAUAAAGUGGGUAAACGUAUCCUCAUCUGAGGUUCUACAACUACUAGAAAAUAGUUUGUCAGUAUCGAAAUAAUUUUGUUUUCAGUCUAGAGAAUAACAUCUUACUGUUAGUCUAUGUCUUUUUUCAACAGAAACACGUGACGUAGUGUUGAGUAAACGUACGGCAUACGACAUGUUAUUUGGAUGCAUUUAUAUAUUGUAAAAUGAUUGUCAUUGUAGUAAUAAUUAGUAAGUCUGUCAGGUUUCACAAUUAUCCUUUCUUUUCAGCAGUCGGAAUAAUUAAGUUUCAGUCUCAACAAAUUUCAUGAUUAUGACACCAUUUUGUUGUCCACAUUUACUGUAUUUUGCAUUAUGAAUCUCUGUUUACUACCGGUCAGUUUGUACCCUUAACCAUCUGUCUCAUUUCCCCAUUCCCUUUUCCCUGGUAACCACCCUUUUAUUGUCUGUUUUUAUGUGUGGUUUAUUAUAAUUCCACAUACAAGUGAUACCAUAAAGUGCUUGUCUUUCUCUAUCUGACAUCUCAAUAGGCAUAAUGUGCUCAAAAGGUCCAUCCACGUCGUUCCAAGUAGCAAGACGUACUGUUUUCUCAGGGCAGAAUACUAUUCUGCUGCAUAUACAAACCACUUUUUUUUACUCCAAUCAUGUGUCAACAGACACGUAGUACAAUAGCCAAGAUGCGCAAACAAGAUUUCAAAGAGGACUUAAUCCAGUUUUUUUUUUUUUUCUUUAAAAAAUUCUUCUAGGGGCACCUGGGUGGCUCAGUCAGUUAAGCUUCUGACUUCAGCUCAGGUCAUGGGUUUAAGCCCCGUGUCGGGCUCUCUGCUGACAGCUUGGAGCUUGAAGCCUGCUUCAGAUUCUAUGUCUCCUUCUCUGUCUGCCCCUCCUCUGUUCAUGCUGUAUUUCUCUCUCUCUCUCAAAAUUAAAUUAGCAUUA
ensembl:lncRNA